UACGUAGGGGGCUAGCGUUGUCCGGAAUCAUUGGGCGUAAAGCGCGUGUAGGCGGUCCGGUAAGUCCGCUGUGAAAGUCGGGGGGCUCAACCCUCGGAUGCCGGUGGAUACUGUCGGGCUUGAGUACGGAAGAGGCGAGUGGAAUUCCUGGUGUAGCGGUGAAAUGCGCAGAUAUCAGGAGGAACACCAGUAUGGAAGGCAGCUCGCUGGGACGUUACUGACGCUGAGACGCGAAAGCGUGGGGAGCAAACAGG
rnacentral:rRNA from 1 species